rnacentral:rRNA from 1 species
ACCACUUUGUGAUUCAUGACUGGGGUGAAGUCGUAACAAGGUAACCGUAGGGGAACCUGCGGUUGGAUCACCACCUUA